rfam:Brassica napus, WGS project CCCW01000000 data, contig: 24722
CGACCCCAGGUCAGGCGGGAUCACCCGCUGAGUUUAAGCAUAUCAAUAAGCGGAGGAAAAGAAACUAACAAGGAUUCCUUUAGUAACGGCGAGCGAACCGGGAAUAGCCCAACUUGAAGAUCGGACCUUUUUGGCGUUCGAAUUUUAGUCUGGAGAAGCGUCCUCAGCGGCGGACCGGGCCCAAGUUCCCUGGAAAGGGGCGCCAGAGAGGGUGAGAGCCCCGUCGUGCCCAGACCCUAUCGCACCACGAGGCACUGUCUACGAGUCGGGUUGUUUGGGAAUGCAGCCCCAAUCGAGCGGUAAAUUCCAUCCAAGGCUAAAUGUGGGCGAGAGACCGAUAGCGAACAAGUACCGCGAGGUAAAGAUGAAAAGGACUUUGAAAAGAGAGUCAAAGAAUGCUUGAAAUUAUCGGGAGGGAAGCGGA